rfam:Papio anubis isolate 1X1155 chromosome 7, whole genome shotgun sequence.
AUCGCUUCUCGGCCUUUUGGCUAAGAUCAAGUGUAGUAAAAAUCUAGAAUAAGACAAUGAUGCCCACUUUUACCACUU